GCAGGUUAAACCUUCACCACAUAGGUCUUGGUGCCCAUUGUGUGAAUGAAUGAGUGCAUAAUGGAGACCCCCAGGGUUCCAGCUAACUAGUCAGGAAGAGCUGCCAACUGAAAGUCAAUGGAGCCAAGCUUAAUUGAAACAAUUUGCUGUACACAGGCAAGGAAAAAGUGACUCAACCAACAUGUCAAAAAUGAAGAUUUAGUGGUGUCUAAUGGAUGAAAAGACACAUAUUUACACUUCAGGGAAGGAGGGAGAGAUAAGAAGAUAAGAAAGAAAAUGGAGCUGAUGCUGGGGACAAUCUGUUGAAAAUGGGAAUCUAAGGGUGCCUUGUUGCUUGAGCUAAGCUAUCUUGCCUGCGGCUGUGAAUGGCAGUUGAUUGACAGUUGGUGGAGAUGGAUGGCCCCUUCUCCAUAGGAACUGCUUCUCGGAUGAUAGCUAUAAAGGUAAAGCUGAAAGCAGGAC